GGACCCUACUGCUAUCGGGGUGGGACUAAGACAUGCGAGUUGAGCGUCUCUAGCUAUGUUGAGACGCGGCAUACGGCUCAGUAACACGUGGUUAACCUACCCUCAGGACGGGGACAAACCCGGGAAACUGGGGCUAAUACCAGAUAGGCGAGGACGCCUGGAAUGGUUCCUCACCCAAAGGACUUUGGAAACAUGCUUCCAAGUCGCCUGGGGAUGGGGCCGCGUCCGAUCAGGUUGUUGGCGAGGUAAUGGCUCACCAAGCCUAUAACCGGUACGGGCCGUGAGAGCGGUAGCCUGGAGAUGGGCACUGAGACAAGGGCCCAGGCCCUACGGGGCGCAGCAGUCGCGAAAACUCCGCAAUGCACGAAAGUGUGACGGGGCUACCCCGAGUGCCGUCCGCUGAGGAUGGCUUUUCCUCGGUGUAACUAGCCGAGGGAAUAAGGAGAGGGCAAGACUGGUGUCAGCCGCCGCGGUAAUACCAGCUCUCCGAGUUGUAGGGAUGAUUAUUGGGCUUAAAGCGUCCGUAGCCGGCUUAGCAAGUCUCCUGUUAAAUUCAGCGACCUAAUCGUUGAGCCGCGGGAGAUACUACUAGGCUAGGAGGCGGGAGAGGUCGACGGUACUUUCGGGGUAGGGGUGAAAUCCUAUAAUCCCGGGAGGACCACCAGUGGCGAAGGCUGUCGACUAGAACGCGCUCGACGGUGAGGGACGAAAGCUGGGGGAGCGAACCGGAUUAGAUACCCGGGUAGUCCCAGCUGUAAACGAUGCGGGCUAGGUGUUGGGGUGGCUACGUGCCACUUCAGUGCCGCAGGGAAGCCAUUAAGCCCGCCGCCUGGGGAGUACGGCCGCAAGGCUGAAACUUAAAGGAAUUGGCGGGGGAGCACCACAAGGCGUGAAGCUUGCGGUUCAAUUGGAUUCAACGCCGGG
rnacentral:rRNA from 1 species